rnacentral:rRNA from 1 species
CCAGCAGCUGCGGUAAUUCCAGCUCCAAUAGCGUAUAUUUAAGUUGUUGCAGUUAAAAAGCUCGUAGUUGGAUUUCGGGUGGGUUCUAGCGGUCCGCCUCUGGUGAGUACUGCUAUGGCCUUCCUUUCUGUCGGGGACGGGUCUCUGGGCUUAACUGUCCGGAGCCCGGAAUCGACGAGGUUACUUUGAGUAAAUUAGAGUGUUCAAAGCAAGCCUACGCUCUGAAUACAUUAGCAUGGAAUAACACGAUAGGACUCUGGCCUAUCUUGUUGGUCUGUAGGACCGGAGUAAUGAUUAAGAGGGACAGUCGGGGGCAUUCGUAUUUCAUUGUCAGAGGUGAAAUUCUUGGAUUUAUGAAAGACGAACAUCUGCGAAAGCAUUUGCCAAGGAUGUUUUCAUUAAUCAAGAACGAAAGU